rnacentral:rRNA from 1 species
UACCAGCACCCCGAGUGGUCGGGACGAUUAUUGGGCCUAAAGCGUCCGUAGCCGGUCAUGCAAGUCCUCCGUUAAAUCCACCUGCUUAACAGAUGGGCUGCGGAGGAUACUACAAGGCUAGGAGGCGGAAGAGGCAAGCGGUACUCAGUGGGUAGGGGUAAAAUCCUCUGAUCCAUUGAAGACCACCAGUGGCGAAGGCGGCUUGCCAAUACGCGCUCGACGGUGAGGGAUGAAAGCUGGGGGAGCAAACCGG